rnacentral:misc_RNA from 1 species
UUUCCGUAGGUGAACCUGCGGAAGGAUCAUUCAUAAUAAGUGUUUUUUGGCUCUUUUUUAAAUCCAUAUCCACCUUGUGUGCGAUGUCAGGGUUGAUUUUUGUCUCGAGAGGAUCAGCCGCAAACAUCAACUAUAUCUCAACUCUUUGUCUGAAAAAUAAUAUGAAUAAAACAAUUCAAAAUACAACUUUCAACAACGGAUCUCUUGGCUCUC